UCCUACGGGAGGCAGCAGUGUCUUACGGGAGGCAGCAGUGGGGAAUCUUGGCCAAUGGGCGCAAGCCUGAUCCAGCCAUGCCGCGUGUGUGAUGAAGGCCUUAGGGUUGUAAAGCACUUCGCCAGGAAGAUAAUGACGUACCGAGA
rnacentral:rRNA from 1 species